GUCUACGGCCAUGCCACCCUGAACAAGCCUGAUCCCAUCUGAUCUCGGAAGCUAAGCACGGUUGGGCCCGGUUAGUCCUGGGAUGGGAAGCGAAGCUAAGCAGGGUUGGGCCCGCUGUAGGGU
rnacentral:rRNA from 1 species